UCCUCUGUGGUGGAAUGGUAGACACGCAUGACUCAAAAUUAUGUGCUAAAUAAAGCAUGCCGGUUCGAGUCCGGUCAGGGGUA
rnacentral:tRNA from 1 species